AGUGUUUUCGGUUUUUAUGUGAUUUAAAAGUACAAUAAAUGUUUGUCUUAAAGUCACAUCCUAAAAACAUACAAAUGACUGUCAUUUCGUUUGAGAUGUCCAUUUAUAUGAGAAAAAUAAUCCUUCUCUGAUGCUAAAUCAGUAUAACUACAAAUGUGACAACUGAAUAUAGCUUCUUUUUGUGAGGGACCUUGAAGUUGGGGUUAUUUAAGCCCAGUUAACAGGGGAAACGAGGAGGGCUGGCGGUACCAAAGCAAAGAGGAGAACAAAAUGCCGCCCACCCACUUACCUGUACUAUCUCGCAACGAAAAUCAUUAACUAACUGGCACACUAACAAGGCACCCUACCCAAAUUUACAGUAAGUGGCCCAGCCAGGUGUAGCUAGUGUUGUUAGACAGGAGAGUAACCCUACGUGCAGGUAUGUAAACUCCAGAGUAGGGCUAAACUACUCCUCAUCCCCCUCACUAACUGCCUCACCAUACACCAGCACUCACAUACACACAACCAGAGUGACCCCCCCCCAGGUGAAACAAACACAGGGGUACGUAUACUGACAGAAGGGCAUGAUGGGAUUGGAGAUGAGUGGAAACAGCUGAACCGGGUAACGAGCGGGGGUGGAGCCAAGAUGAAUGGAGAUCAUGGAUGAUCAGUACCACCUGUAUGAACACACACACAAAACAGAACACAUACACAAACCUAUACACAGAACAGGGGACGUAACACUAGCCGUGUAGCUUCCAAGCUAGCUCAGAUUAACUCAUGUCACUAAAAACACAAUUACUGAAAUUCUGAAGGCUGUCGGUCAUCUUUUAAUGUAAUUAAGUUAUUUUUAAUGUAGAAACAAGGGCAGGAAUUUCACGAGGGCCACGAGUAAUUACAAUCCCCAACCGCCUUUUUUAAGGGAAAAAAAAAUGACAAUCCCUCCGGAUUUCUUUUUUUAAACUCGACUACUGGCUUUAUGUACACAGAGUUAACAGGCUUGUGAUAUUACGUUACUGUUUGAAAACACGGCUCAAGUCGACUGUCGCCAAAUUACUCCAACAUAUAUGAAUAUAAAGAACUUACUUUUUGAGAUAUUGGGUUGCGACCUCUUGCUGCAAAGCAUGGAGAUUUUCCUACAACGUUCCGUUAGCGGCGUGGAUCGUUCGCAGGCUCUUCGGUCUUCUUCUUAGUCUAUUUUUGUCAGCCACCUACAUGCGCGUAAGCGCCACCUUCUGUUCCAGAGCGGCACUGCGUCGCGACAUUUGAACGGCAGAGACCAAACUCGAUUACAUUGAGUUGUUUUUUUUUAUCUGAUUAAUUUCAAUCAAAUUGAAUGAAACUAGUUAGCUCAACCUUCUUUACAAACAACUUAAGUGCACUCGAUUAAACCAUGUUCACCAACAGAAUAUAAAUUAAUUGUGUUGCUUUUACUCAUUCUACUUUUGUAAAGUCAAAGACCCAGUAUUUCCUUUUUUUCACCGUAGUAAGGCAGUACACUGUUGUAUUAGCUGUUACUUCAGUAAAACAGCUCCCACUCUGCAACGGUGAAGCAAGAGGCAGGAGAAUAAAGCAAAGAAGGACCAGAGGGCCUGCAGAAUCCAUUCAGAGCAGGACAACAUCUGUCCCCUCUAGAGAGAGAAAUGAAGGACAAAGGAGGAUUGGGUGGGGGGGCUGGUAAGCACCAUGGAGAGACACAGAGAUGGAGCAGAGAGAGAAUAGAGGGAGAGGACAAAUAAGAAAUCUUAACGCAGAAAGGGGAAGAUGGAAGUAGUAAUGAAUAAGUGCGGGCAGUCAGUGAGUUGUCUGAUCAGGAGAACGGGCUCCUAUCACACACAUGCUGUCGGUGCAGCAGGCGGAGACAGGCCUGAUGGAUUCGUAUGAUAGAUGUGUGGACGCAUGGAGCCGCGGCCCCAGCUGCUGGGCUUAAUGAAAUGUGUCCCACUACAAGAUAGAGCGCUCUGAUUUAAACACAUCCUACCACGCUAUCCCUCUUCUCCCUAAUGCAGCCAGAAAGAGCAGCCUCCGCCACCGCCACUGAGCCCCCUCUUGGUUUGUAUUCUUAUUUGAAAGUCAGCUUUUUCAUUUAGAACCAAUCCGCUGCCUCUAGUCUCUGCCCCCCGGAAUGAAUCACGGUGCGGUUCUGUGUAGAUCUUUGAUAAGUCAAACUCAAUCUGAAAUGGGCUUUGUUGUUUUUGUUUCAAACUCUGAAACUCAUCUUCUGCUUUGGUGCACUUUCAGUACGUGUCAGGUUUGAAACCCUUCAUUAUAAAUCAGCAUUUGAACUCAAUUCUUGACUGUAUAAUAGUUCUAUAUACAUGUAUAUAAUAUUGGAACAGGAUUCUGACAAAAAAGACUGCUAUGCUGUCUUUUUUGUCAGAUUCCUGUUCGGCCUCAAGUGGCAGAGGCCGAUGGUAUCUAGCUAUACGUUUGAAUAAACCAAUGUGAUAAACAAAACUGAUAACCCAAGUUUAUCUGCAGCGCAUUCGCCAAACUGACCACCCACCCUGGAGAUCUAAGGGAGAACCCCCACUGCUCCUCUACCAUCCGGUAGAAAACCACUCUUUUCCGAUGUCUUUCCUCCUUGCCUUAUAAGACUUAUGGCUAGAACGUACACUCCCUCCACUAUUCAGCCCCUUACAACCAUUUUUUUAAAAGAUGCACCGUCCCCUACAGAGCAUUCACUAUCAGAAGCUCAGCGCCUGCAUGAGUGCACAUUGUAAAACUAGUAUCCAUUCAAUUCAAUACAUUUUGAAUUUUAUUUUGUACAGCCCAAAAUCACAAAUUUACCUCAGAAGGCUUUACAGUCUGCACAAAUGCGACUGUAACCCAGGUUGAAAUCUGGCAAUAUUUUUUGCCGUCCCCUGGCCCUUUAAGAUGCGAUCUCACGCAACCCCAGUCACGUGACUGUGCUUGGCCAAUUGCGCAGUAGAGCACGAGUUUAAACUAGGCUGCAGGGUCUUCCUCAUUCAGAGGUGUGGGGAAGCUGAUCGGCAGCUGUGGACAGGUUUUUGUUCAACAAACAAUUUACUCUUGUGCUUGAUUUAUUCUUUGAGAUUAAACAUAUCAUUGUAACUUUUAGAAUAAAGCCUAGUUUAUGCUUCUGCGUUUUCAGAGCGACGCAGACGCAAGCCCCCCUUGCGUGUCCCUUGCGUCGCUUUUCACACCUCCUUGUGUCCUUGCGUGUGUCGAGCCAUUUUUCUUGCGUCGCUUUCGACGCAAGCAACGCAAGCCUCCCGCAGCGCACCAGGCUGCGAUUGGUCCGCUAACUACAUCCUUUACGGAGUCUCAUUUCCGCUUUCAUAGCCCGAUACCGCCAUUAUUAAAACGAAGAAUGUUUACGAGAGAACGGAUCAGAUUUAAGAACUUUUGUCGGAUAAAAUGCGCAAAUAUGACCGCUUAUAUAAGCCGUCAUUGGCGGGUUGUAGAAGCGGGUUGGAUUCACGGAGGGAGAUUGCCGCAAAUGCCGGUUUGCCGGUCGAGAGGUGCGCAAAGUUGUGGAGGAAAAUACGGGACAAAUGUGUCCGCGAUGAAAAGCCGCAGUGGUGAUGCACGGGGCAAUAAAGUCUGAUGAAUAAAUAAACAAAAAAAUAAAUAGACGCGACUCUCUAGGUCGUCUUCAACAAAAACACGUUACUCCGCCUGUUGUUCUGGCGGUCAAUUGCUCUGCAACACAUGCAGAAUCAUGAAUUGAAACGAGUGCGUCGCCGCAACGACUCAGACGCAAACGCAGAAGCAUGCGCCAGCCUUAACUUAGUGGCUGCAGGGAAUCGUCACCGUCAUCAGGUUGCCAUAUGUCUAUAUAGAGGAACUGGUGAGUACUCUGAAUGAAUGAACUACAUGCUGAAAGCUAACAUAUUAAUCAAAUAUUUACCAACUGGUUUUGAUUAAUUUUAUGCGGUUGUGACGUUUGCAUUUGUGGGUUACAAAUAUAUUUGUUUUCAAUAAGUGUGUUUACAUGUAUUAAGGAAAUUUGAUUUUAGUACUGUUGAAUUUAUUUGAACUUUGUGCAGGCAAUACAACUUUAACAUUGUACUGUUGAUUGAGAUGUCAUGCACUUAAUGUCUAUUAUUUGUAGUUUGUACAUUUUAGUGAUUUAUUUUGUAAUGAUUUAGAAAUUGUGUGCACCUGGAAAUGAUAUUGGAGUGUGGAAUGAGCUAAUGUUAAUGCUUAGCUCCAACUAAGCCCUGUUAUUUACUGCUCCUGUUGUUGCACUACAGGCCAGGUUUUCCUCUCUGUUUGGAGACGAAUGAUGGCAAGCUGGAUUACCAUUGCUGGGAGCCUACCAUCUGUGUAGCAUCCACUGAAUAGCCACUUCCUACUGGUCUGGUAGGAAGGUUGUCCACAGCCUGCCCCUGCACACUCCUCCAUAGACUAGUGCUUCAAUCCCACGUACACAUCCUUUCACUUGAUGAACAAUAACCUACGGACUACUCAAUACAAACAUUCCAUAAAAUCCUUGUGGGUUGUCUCGCUGGUCUUGUAUACCAUCCAUUGCAGGGGCGGUUCUUUUUCUCUUUUUGUUUUUGUGUGGUAUUUGCUGUAAUUUAAAUUAGUAUAGCAUACUUGAACAACCACUACAAAGUGUGCUUAAAUAUAACCGGUUCAACUGCAGUCUGUAAAUAUUUUGGGAUUCUUUUAUUUUUCUUCUUUCAUUAUUUCUUGUUUUAAAUAUUUUGUUUAAUUAUUUUGCAAUACAUGGUACCUGCACCAAAUUUAAACUUAUGUUUCUGUGUUGUUACUGACCACCAGCUCCUGUAGCAGAAUUUGGACUUCUGUGAUUUAUACUAGCCUAUACUGGUAUUUCUAUAGCCUUCUAUUAAACGUAUUAUAGCUAAUAUUAAGGACAUAUUAAUAUCAGUUAACCAUCUCGAAGACCCGUUACACGACAUCCUGAAAAAUUCCUGAAACCCUGACAUUGUCACAGAAAAAGCUCCCCAAAAAAUGAAAAAACUCUUCCAUGGGGAGAAAAAAGGAAAAAGAAGAAACCUUAGGAACAACGGCAGAGGAGGGAUCAUGAGGGAUGUCACGGUUUGACUUUAUUUCCUGUUUUAGCUUCACUUCGAGCUUUGUCAUACCCUGUGAUUGUCUGCCUUGUCCCUGAUUGUUUCCACCUGUGUCCAAUCACCUGCACCUUCCCAAUGUAUUUAAGCAAUGUGUGUCUCUUGUCGCGUCAUUGAAUGUCGUUAGUGAAUGUUCUACCCUGAAUAUUGUUCCCGUGUUUUGUAAGUUCCUGGUCCCCUUCCUCUCUGCGUCUUGCCCCCAGGCAUUUGGAUUUUGAUAUUUUGAUUAAUAAAGUUGUUUUCGUUGCACUUGAGCCCUGCUUCUGGCAACCCCACCCCACUUUGUGACGGCAUUGUGACAGGAUCGUGACAGGAUCCCUCUUUCGGGAUGGACAACCCGCAAUGGAUGUCAUGUGUACACAAUGAAGACGUAAAAGGUGUACAGUACGUUCAAUCCAUACAACAAAAAUCCUUUACAAAUUGAGAGUAGUAAGUGAGUAAGACUGGACCACUGCAGGAACAACCACCAUCAGAUAUAACCACCAGCAACAGAAACCUGCUAUGGAUGCACUGCGCAUACUGUUCUGCCCGAGCAGAGAGCCUAUUAUGAGGUCAUGACAUGGUUUCAUUUUUUUUAAUGUUUUGGGGGAGUAUUUUGCCCUCGGCCUUUGGCCUGGCUGCUAAAAUAUAAACUUUAUUGCUUGGUGACACUGCAAUACCUGCUCUCCUCGAUACUCCUUCUCUUGAGCGUGAGAAACUUCAAAAGGCUGCGGCUACAAAACGUACGAGGGAUGUCCUUCCUGGUCAAGCAGAGGUCAAAGGCUUUGCCUUCUUUUUUCCCCGAGGGUGCUGGCCUCCCUAAUUAUUUCAAGAGGAGGACUAGACAGACCCUUGGCUGGGUCAUAACCUGCAUCCAUUACCUCUGCCUUCUGUGCAUCACUGAGGCACUGAGGAAAGAUUUUGCCACAGGACUCUCUCACUUGAUACAGCAAGGCCCAUUACACGGCCGCAGCCUUGUACUGCACCGCGUGAGGAGCGGAGGAUGAAAUCGUUGACUACACAUAUCUUAUCCCAUAGGGCCAGGUUAGGUGACCUAGAGUCUAGCUUCCUGCCAGUCUCCUCCAGGAUUUCCCUCUGGUAUGCGGACAGCAGAGUCAUCGCGUUCAGCAUAGCAAUACAUUCUCUGCAAAACGGAGGCGGUGAGGCGCUCUGUUUUAUUAGUCUGGGCGAUGUUUAAGGAAGCUAAGAGAGCGGCGGCUUGGGUGGAGGUGGUAAACCACUGAUGGCUCCACCUCUGGGGGUCCCGCCAGACCCAGCUCUCCCAUCCCUUUGAUACAUGUCAUUUAGCUGACGCUUUUAUCCAAAGCGACUUGCUUUACCUUUUUUGCCCAGGGAGCAAUUCGGGAUCAGGUGUCUUGCUCAGGGACACUUCGGCAUGGGACAUGGAGCAGCCAGGGUUGAACCACCAACCUUGCGGUUCCCGGCGCACGAUCUCUACUGCAUGCGCCACCGUAUGGGGCGCCGUUUGUAAAAUGUCACAUGUUCUAAAAUCCUGCGCAGUUUUGCUACAUUUAGCAUUAUCAUAUGAACAAAAAAGCACGACAAUAUUCAUGUCACUUUUUCAAACAUUUAGAGAGAAAUUCAUGUAAAUUCAUCCAAUAACUUUUCCAAGGAUAAUGUUUGGCAGUAACACAAAGUUGUUAAAUAAUAUAAAUAUAAAUGUAAAUGAUAAAUGAUGAAUGUAAAUCACUGCAUGAAAAGUGGGAUUUUCGGCAGUAUGCGGCACUGUAAAUUGUCGGAAAUUUUUUUAAAAGGUAAAAUCUCUGGUACAAAUAGAUCAGGCUCAGUAGCCUAAUUAUAGACUCUUACAUUUUAGCUUGAAUUGAUUUAUUUUAUUCAAAUAUGCUAGAUUACUGUGUACGCCAUUAGCAAUGGCAAAUGUUAUGUAAAAAAGAUACACAAAAUAACUUCUUUAAAAAAUUAGUUUUAAUCAAGGUAAAAUGAGCAUUCCAUGCAAACAACAUUUGAAUCAGCAUGAGGCGUCUGCAGAGAUCAGUCUCCUAGAGCUCGACUACAGUGCAUAGUGGCAGGACUACAGUGACCUUUUCUUUGGUCUUACUUAAAUGCACAGAUGAUGUAUUACCCACACAUCUUCUAGCAAUGCGCUCAACUGGCAGAAAUGAUGCUGGGUAUGACGUGUCUGUUCCCUGCAAGCCCCAAACUUCUAUUGGCUUUCCAUAAAAAUGUCUGUCCGGGUGGGGAUGAAGCCAGGAAACUUGUGCAAGAACAUGUUUAAAUGCCCUACCCUUUGACACAACAUCAACAACUAUAAACUGCUUUAUAAUGGCUGGUCGUAGUUCUGCUAGAGGGUCAAGGACGGGUUCCUCAAAACUGUUAGUGUUUCCACACCACUUAGCAUAAACACAUCCAUCCAUCCAUCCAUCUUCAACCGCUUAUCCGGGGUCGGGUCGCGGGGGCAACAGCUCCAGCAGGGGACCCCAAACUUCCCUUUCCCGGGCCACAUCUACCAGCUCUGACUGGGGGAUCCCAAGGCGUUCCCAGGCCAGUGCAGAGAUAUAAUCUCUCCACCUAGUCCUGGGUCUUCCCCGGGGCCUCUUCCCAGCUGGCCGUGCCUGAAACACCUCCCUAGGGAGGCGCCCAGGGGGCAUCCUCACCAGAUGCCCAAACCACCUCAACUGGCUCCUUUCGACGCAAAGGAGCAGCGGCUCUACUCCGAGCUCCUCGCGAAUGGCUGAGCUUCUCACCCUAUCCCUAAGGGAGACGCCAGCCACUCUCCUGAGGAAACCCAUUUCGGCCGCUUGUACCCGUGACCUAGUUCUUUCGGUCAUGACCCAUCCUUCAUGACCAUAGGUGAGGGUAGGAACGAAGAUUGACCGGUAGAUCGAGAGCUUUGCCUUCCGGCUCAGCUCUCUUUUCGUCACAACAGUGCGGUAAAGCGAGUGCAAUACCGCCCCCGCUGCUCCGAUUCUCCGGCCAAACUCACACUCCAUCUUCCCCUCACUUGUGAACAAGACCCCGAGGUACUUGAACUCCUUCACUUGGGGUAAGGACACAUUCCCUACCUGGAGUAGGCAAUCCAUCGGUUUCCUGCUGAGAACCAUGGCCUCAGAUUUAGAGGUGCUAAUCCUCAUCCCGACCGCUUCACACUCGACUGCGAAACGCUCCAGUGAGAGUUGGAGGUCACAGACGGAAGAUGCCAUCAGGACCACAUCAUCUGCAAAAAGCAGCGAUGAGAUCCGCAGCCCCCCGAACUGUAGACCCUCCUCCCCCCGACUACGCCUCGAUAGCCUGUCCAUGAAGACCACAAACAAGAUUGGUGACAAGGCGCAGCCCUGGCGAAGGCCAACCCCCACCGGAAACGCCUUCUCACUUACUGCCGAGCACCCUAACACAGCUCUCGCUUUGGGCGUACAUGGAUUGGAUGGCCCCAAGCAAGGACCCCCUCACCCCGUACUCCCGCAGCACCUCCCACAGUAUCUCUCGGGGGACCCGGUCAUACGCCUUCUCCAAGUCCACAAAACACAUGUAGACUGGUUGAGCAUACUCCCAAGCCCCCUCUAUGAUCCUGGAAAGAGUGAAGAGCUGGUCCGUUGUUCCACGACCAGGACGAAAACCGGCAUUGUUCCUCUUCAAUCCUUGGUUCGACUAUCGGCCGAACCCUCCUUUCCAGCACUUUAGAGUAGACUUUACCCGGGAGGCUGAGUAGUGUGAUACCCCUGUAAUUGGCACACACUCUCUGGUCCCCCUUUUUGAAGGGGGGUACCACCACCCCGAUCUGCCACUCUUUUGGCACUGUCCCAGACUUCCACGCAAUGUUGAAGAGGCGUGUCAUCCAAGACAACCCCCCAACACCCAUUGCUUUUAGCAUCUCUGGACGGAUCUCAUCAAUCCCCGGGGCUUUGCCACUGCAGAGUUGUUUGACUACCUCAGUGACUUCCACCAGGCCAAUUGACGAUGAAGCAUAAACACAUGCUGACCUUUAUGCUCUGCAUCUAUCGAUUGAGUAAGUUACAUUCAUAUAUGUUUCCCGUUUACAUUUCAUGGCAAAACAUUCCACCUCAGUGACACAAGGGUACAUCUGAUGAUACAUUGUCAACAUUGCAUGUAUGUCAGACUCAAGAUUGUCUGGUGGAAUGGAGAAAGAGGCACCACUGUACAGUUUUCCAGGGAAAGUCGUUCUGCUGACACCAAAACACUGCUUUACAUAAAGCAUAUCAGCUGUUUCAAAGUCCCAACCAUUUGUCUUCCUAAAAUACUGGUCCUUCCUUAUAACAAUAACCUCGUAUGUGAUUGGAGGACCCUUAGACUCCUCGUCCAAUCACGUGUGAGGUCAUAGGCAUGACUCAGACAGCAGUACCUGCAAGACGAGCAUACAAACAGACACGUGUGUGUUACUAUAUUCAGAAGAACUGUAUCUCCAGUUCCUUUGUUUGGUUUUUGCUGGUUCGUGAAUAAUGGCGGGACGACGUCUCGCGUUCAACUCGCCUUCAACUCCUCUCCGCGGUCACCAACUUUCGGCCAGUCCGCAGACAGACGAGAAGAAACUGCUGAAUGCUCUCAGUGGAUCGUCUCGUCACUCCAACAACAAACUGCCGAUAUCAACGAGCGGUUCGCUCCACUGGAGCGUUCGGGACUCUCAAGGUUUCUGUCCAUGGAGGAGAGGAACUGACUCAAAGAAGAGGAGACGGGCGCACAAUCCCAAGAUAGCGGUAAGAAUACGUUCGAUGACUGCAAGCUAAGCUAAAAGUAGCGUAGCCUCAAGCUAAGCUAAGAGUAGCCUAGUAGCCUUACAAGUGAGCAGAAACAGCUUUAUUAAAGUGUGUUUUCUUUGCCGUGUCGUUUACAGGAAGCGGUGCGCCGUCUUCACAACUCCGAGACGAAUUACAGGCGCUACGAACCGGAGCAAGGGUAAGAUUUAAAGAAUAUGCUUUCAUUCUGCGGUAUAAGGGAAUAUAUACGUAUGGAUACCGAUCAUAACUGUACAUUUUGUUUUCACAGACUAAUCUCGCCUCAUAAUGAGGCGGUGACCUCGUAUUUGCUCCGGGGAAAGUCCAGAUUUAGACGACGUCAUUGUGUGUAAGUGAUACUUUUUACUGUUUCUCCUUCCUUGUUAAAUGUUACUGUGACUUGCGUUUGAUUUUUUUUUUGUAUUCAUACCACACUCAUUUAAUUGUUUUCCAGCCGCCUGUAAGACGUAUUUUGAGACGGGACGCAGGAGCUUCAGGUUCAGCCGGAACACUCAUUGCGAGCGGAAGCUGCGAAGGAUUCAGCGCGGAGUCGAGCGAGAAGAAAGAGGGUCAGAGUUUAUUUGCUGACUUUUUUCAGGUGCAUUGAUAGAUGUGUUGUGUCCAUACGCAUCGCAUCGCACAGUACUGAUUCAUUGUUGUUUUUACAGCUGCUGGAAUCGAGACAAAGUGCGCUGGCUGAUGACGAGGUGGAAAUCCGCCACCGUAGAGCUCACGUCGGACGGAGAGGACGGCGUUGUUGGCGGGGUCUCGGGGUGGAUUGUACGGUCGCCCCGCACACACGAGCCGCCUGCACAACAGACCUGCCUCGGAAAACACGGCGCCAGUGACGGUCUACAACCCCGAGGAGGCAAACGGACAGAUUACUGAGCUGUAGUUUUUAAACCGCCGUUACCCAAGUGUGGGCAGAUCCUCACUUUGUAUGUAGUUGUUUGUGUGUUGUUAAUAAAGCUCUUUCUUUGCAUAAACAUGUGGCAAAUGUUCAUUUUCUCUAUAAAUUCAUUGAUGUCCUGGUUGGUAUCCUAGUAAUAGUGUAGUAGCCUACAUAGGAUAACCAUGAAAUGAAUAUACAGCAUAAUAUGAAUAUAUAAAUAUAUAUAAAUAAGAGGCGGGUGACCAAUAGCGACAGAUCUGCCAACCACUCACGAGUGAUUGAAAGUUGUGGUUUCAUCCAAUCAUGAACAAGGAAACUCAAGCCUGGCCUGCCCACGUGUGGUUUUGCUGCCAAUCACGAGUGAUUAUAUUUGUUAGUAAGUUGUGGUUUCAUCCAAUAAGGAGUAAGGAUAUUCAAGCCCGCUCGGCUCGGCCACCCGCGGUUUCGCUGCAUUCAUAUGCUAAUUCGGGCCAUUCGCACCUCCGCCAGCUCUCCACCUACGUCAUGGUUCGUUUCCGACAAUUUGUGGCACAGACAAACGCGACGGGCGCGGGUUGCAAAUUGUCGGAAAUUAGGGAGAUUUCCGGGCGUUUACGGGGACGAAAAUCUCACUUUUCAUGCAGUGAAUGUUAAAUGUAGAUCAUGUAUGUUCACUCAGAACACUUGUACAGACUUGACGACUGAACGUUACAAUAUUUUAUGGUAAUUCACACCGCGGCAAGACAACCUGGUAAGUCCGGAUGAAUUAGCUCUUGUUAUAGAGCAGGGGUGUCAAACUCAUUUUAGGUACGGGGCCACAUACUGUCCACGUUGAAGUCAUGCGAGGGGGGGUUCACGGGCGCGGAGCGUUGCGCAAACCCCCCCUUGACCGGACCAUCGCCGAAGAUUUGACCGCGCGCCCAUGCCCCACCCCCGUUGACCGCGACCAUCCGCGCCCGUGCCUCUAAGCUCAUGUACAUUCCCAUGAAAUAUUAUUCUAUCGAUUUUGAGACAAGUAAAAAUGAAAUCAGUUUUUGCCAGCUUGUCUUGCCGGGGCGUGAAUUAGCGUAAAUAUUGUAAUGUUCAGUCGACAAGUCUGAUAUGUACAGUGAACAUUUAGAUUUACAUUUAACAUUUAGAUUAUUUAACAACUUUGUGUUACUGCCAGACAUUAUCCUUGGAAAAGUUAUUACAUGAAUUUCUCUCUAAAUGUUGGAAAAAGUGACAUGAAUAUUGUCGUGCUUUUUUGUUCAUAUGGUAAUGCUAAAUCUAGCAAAACUGCGCAGGAUUUUAGAACGUGCGACAUUUUACAAAUGGCGCCCCAUAACACCGUCACCCUUCGACUUGAGAUUUGAGGAGCUUACUCUCAUUCAUGCAGAUGGCAGAAGUUGCUUUGACUGCGGUUGUGCUGGUGGCAGUCUUACCAUUGUACAGGUCCUCCCCUGUAGCAUCCUGGGCUGUUUAGAUGCGGGCCGUUUGCAGAUCAGAUGCAGUAGGGGGUCUGGGCGCCUCGAUGGGAAAUGUGGGGCUAUCCUUCUAAGCUUCCAUGUCGACGAGGUCAGAGUUGGCAUUGCCCUUUGCGUCCUCACCACCCAGCUCCAGUUCCAAUAUAUGAACAGUUACUAAAUAUAUUCAUUUUUAUGAAGUACUUACACAGAAAAUCCAGACUAGAGCUAGGAACUGUGUUCGGCAACGUGUCCUUAAUGGGUCGUCUGUAAACUGUUAAGCAGCAAAUCCAAGCUAGCCAAGAUAAAGAUCAAGCUAUAGUUUCUUCACGGGAAGUAAACGAGAAUGAUUUGUGAGGUGGCGAGGCCCCAGCACAGUUCGACUUGACGUGGCAUCAUUGGAGCUUCCUUAAUUGGUCACGCCGAAGCAAUUCCCAUAGUGAAACACCGAACAAAAUUAGAAACAAAGUGUUUUUUAUUAAUUUAUAUUUAUAGUAUUUUUUAUAUAGCGAACGGGACCUAGGUCCUCUUAGUAGGGUUAAAUAACUUCCCUGAUCUGAGUCCUUAACCCCCAGACCUACUAGUUUCAAACCUAACCUGCCCGAAGUGUAACGAAUAUAAUAGUCUAGGCCUUAGCUAAUCACCGUGACAUGAACACAUCCUAAGUGAGAGAAUACAGCAUAAGUGUCCGCAUGUGCAACUUACCCUAACUACCAUACACUGGCAGAGGAUGAGACACCCCUACUUCAGAGAAGAUGAAGAACUUCACGGUAUAAGCACAUCAUUUAAAAGAUUAAAAUUGAUGAUUUAUUAUGCUAACUCCAAUAGGAAAAGUUUAUAGAAAUAUGUUGGUUACCCAAAAUCACAAACAUAAGUGACCAAUUUUUUUGGUUAAUACUCAAAUCUCGUUAAUUUAGUCCACAAGAAAAACGGCAGGUAUCAAAUCAGGCAGAGUUCUCCCUCUGUCGCAUACAGGAUUAAAAUGAUGGUUUCUCUCCACUAUAACUUGCUGUUCAAUAACAAAGUCGGGUUACUUCACCUAAAGUCUGCAACUCGGUAGCUGGAGCUCGGGAGCAUCUUUGGAUGGCAGGGAACUGUCGACCUCAGCGGCGGCAAGGAUCAAGGGACAGCGAGCACAAGCCAAUGUGAUUCUAACUUCUUCCUCUGGUCGGUGCACUGCACCUCACUAACGGCUACACACUCCAAAAGCAAUCACUUUGUGUUAACUUUAAACUCUCUUCAGUAUUAACUUCAUUGUUCACGCUCCAAUUCUGCUGAGCCCUCACGUUCUACAUGUCUCUCCUGUUCUGCUUCACCUGUAUUCCAACCUGCUGAUUGGCUGCUGACUACAUGUAUAGGAAAUUAGCAUUAAAGUUAGAGAGGGAAACAAUAUAUGUUUAUCUCGUAUUUGCUAUAUUGUUCAAUUUGAAGAAAAAGAGAUACAUUACAUUACAUUUACAUUUACAUUACAUAUCUAGAAAAGUGUGCUAACUAAAGGCAAAACUUCUUUAAGCAGCCUAAUUGGAAUAGAAGAGACAGGUAGAGGGUUUACACUUCGUAGAAGAAAUUGUAGAAGUCGAUCAAGGUGGAUUGGAGGAAAAAUAUUUAUAUAUAUAUGAGUGCAGUUUACUGCAUACUUUCAUAUGACAGUGUGGGCUUCUGAUUUUAGGUGUUGGAUUGAGUCCGCUCAGCAGGUCUUUGACAACCUGUCCUCCAGCUCGCUUGCACCAGCACAUUGAACCCUGAUUUUUUUCUCUUGCUGGGUUCAUAGAAAUCUGAAUGCGCAACACAUACUGCUCAAAUAGAACCGAGCCAAUAUAUAUAGUUAGAAAGAAAAACUCAAUGACAACAACAACAUUGCCAUCAGAAACCUCACAGGACCAAUCUGCCUGUCCUUAUGACCAGCAGGACGUCGGUUUUUCAUAUCUGCUCUC
ensembl:lncRNA